rfam:Ixodes scapularis strain Wikel colony gcontig_1108379204294, whole genome shotgun sequence.
CCCUGCUUAGCUCAGUUAGUAGAGCGCUCCACCUGUAAUGGAGAGGUCCCGGGUUCGAUACCCGGACCAGGGG